rnacentral:lncRNA from 1 species
ACAACGGUGUGAUGGACAGCAGAUACAGCCACAACACUUACCUAUAGACAACGGUGUGAUGGACAGCGGAUUCAGUCACAACACUUACCUAUAGACAACGGUGUGAUGGACAGCAGAUACAGCCACAACACUUACCUAUGGACAACGGUGUGAUGGACAGCGGAUUCAGCCACAACACUUACCUAUGGACAACGGUGUGAUGGACAGCGGAUUCAGCCACAACACUUACCUAUGGACAACAGUGUGAUGGACAGCACAUACAGCCACAACACUUACCUAUGGACAACGGUGUGAUGGACAGCGGAUUCAGCCACAACACUUACCUAUGGACAACAGUGUGAUGGGGAGCGGAUUCAGCCACAACACUUACCUAUGGACAACGGUGUGAUGGACAGCGGAUUCAGCCACAACACUUACCUAUAGACAACGGUGUGAUGGACAGCAGAUACAGCCACAACACUUACCUAUAGACAACGAUGUGAUGGACAGCAGAUACAGCCACAACACUUACCUAUGGACAACAGUGUGAUGGGGAGCGGAUUCAGCCACAACACUUACCUAUAGACAACGGUGUGAUGGACAGCGGAUUCAGCCACAACACUUACCUAUAGACAACGGUGUGAUGGGGAGCGGAUUCAGCCACAACACUUACCUAUAGACAACGGUGUGAUGGGGAGCGGAUUCAGCCACAACACUUACCUAUAGACAACGGUGUGAUGGACAGCAGAUUCAGCCACAACACUUACCUAUAGACAACGGUGUGAUGGACAGCAUAUUCAGCCACAACACUUACCUAUAGACAACGGUGUGAUGGGGAAGUGGUGUGGAGUUCUACACCCUUUCAGUAAACAUCACCUUCAAAGCCAUCUGCUAUUAAACCUUCACAACAGGAAGAAGAGUGGAAGUCACCACCACGACAAUAACAGGGUUAUGUCCCAAAGUGCACCCUACUCCCAUACGCAGUGCACUACGUGUAAUAAGAGGAUCUGGUUAAAAGUAGUGCCCUCAUUUAGGGAAUAGGGUGCCGUUUGGGAUGCAGAUCAAGGUGUCUAUUCCACCUCUUUCCAAUGUCCUACAGGGUAUUACUAUGCUGAUAAUAAGUACAUACUAUAUUGAGAAAUGAAUCAAUGUUUUACAAUCUAUUUGUGUUAUAGCUUGUAUCUCUCCCAUGUGUUCCAAUUGACGAGCCACUUUAACUGACGCCUGUCUCUGAGUUAAUGAAUGAAUAGUGUAUUGUCCACACCUGUCUCUAAGUUAAUGAAUGAAUUGUGUGUUGUCCACACCUGUCUCUGAGUUAAUUAAUGAAUUGUGUGAUGUCCACACCUGUCUCUGAGUUAAUGAAUGAAUUGUGUGAUGUCCACGCCUGUCUCUGAGUUAAUGAAUGAAUUGUGUAUUGUCCACACCUGUCUCUGAGUUAAUGAAUGAAUCGUGUGAUGUCCACACCUGUCUCUGAGUUAAUGAAUGAAUUGUGUGUUGUCCACACCUGUCUCUGAGUUAAUUAAUGAAUUGUGUGAUGUCCACACCUGUCUCUGAGUUAAUGAAUGAAUUGUGUGUUGUCCACACCUGUCUCUGAGUUAAUGAAUGAAUCGUGUGAUGUCCACACCUGUCUCUGAGUUAAUGCAAUACUGUGAUCCAUUAAAGAAUCAAUAGUCCAUUUCCACCAUCACAAUCUUCUAUCAAAACAUUUCACUUCCUUAUUGUCAUAUGAUAGCACUAUGUUUAUCUACUCUUCUGAAAUCAUCUGCAUUUCCUGUGAUUUGAUUGGUCUACCUCCCGUGAUCGUCACCAAUGCCCUCCCACCGUUCUACCUUGGCCACUGUGCUGUGGUGAAACAGGAAGUUAGUUGUCUAGUCAGCGUGGGUCUUUGUAUUGACUGAGAGGGGCUACACCACAGUAGAUAGAUGACAGAUCUGAGAGACACCCUGAAACACAGUCAUGGAGCUCAGCUCACCUUACGCUCUUUUAAUCCUCUGUUGGGGCGAAGAGCACGAUCUGUCAUGGAGACACACGCACACGCACACGCACACACACACACACACACACACACACACACACACACACACACACACACACACACACACACACACACACGUGUGUUGAACAUGAAAGACUGAAGCCAUGAAUAGACAAGAUUCCCCUGUUGUUUCUCUCUGACCUGUGUUGUUAAUGCCAUGUUCCAGGUGUUAUGCCCAGCGAGGGGGAAGGCUCUGAUGUAACACACAGCCCAGCGAGGGACAAGGCUCUGAUGUAACACACAGCCCAGCGAGGGACAAGGCUCUGAUGUAACACACAGCCCAGCGAGGGACAAGGCUCUGAUGUAACACACAGCCCAGCGAGGGACAAGGCCCUGAUGUAACACACAGCCCAGCGAGGGACAAGGCCCUGAUGUAACACACAGCCCAGCGAGGGACAAGGCUCUGAUGUAACACACAGCCCAACGAGGGACAAGGCCCUGAUGUAACACACAGCCCAGCGAGGGACAAGGCCCUGAUGUAACACACAGCCCAGCGAGGGACAAGGCCCUGAUGUAACACACAGCCCAGCGAGGGACAAGGCCCUGAUGUAACACACAGCCCAGCGAGGGACAAGGCCCUGAUGUAACACACAGCCCAGCGAGGGACAAGGCCCUGAUGUAACACACAACUCUCAGCGUCUCAAAAAAAUCUAUUAACUUCUUAAGGAUCUGACACUUAAAAAAUAAAUUAAAAAAUGUCCUAAAAUGACGUAGCCAAAUCUAACUGGCUGUAGCUCUGGACCUGAAGUAAGGAUAUGCAUAUUAUUGAUACCACUUGAAAGGAAAUACUUUGAAGUCUCAAAAAGCUGUCUCCCUUUUCUAUGAAGAGCACCGUGAGUUGUGACACGGGUCGUUGAGAUGGCAACUGAGAUUUAAUAACAGCGCCUGAUAAAAAUACUUUUUACUGUUAGGGAGGACCUGUUGGUCCCUCCAUUAAAGAGACUGUCAAUGUUCAGACUGAACCCUUAACUGACGCCUGAGCUGGGAAAAUAGAUUCAAGUUGUUCAAUCUAGUAGCGCCAUCUAUUGACUACAGAAAGUAUAGCAACAAGUAAUGUCUAUUUUAAUGGUCGUGUCUGUCAGAACCAAAUUCCAUCCUUCCUUUGGUUUGUUACCUAUUGUCUUAACCUUUACCAGUAUGUAUGGAGGGGUAGAAGAUGGUGGCCUGUAUCACAUCCUCACCUAACUGAGGUUUAUUUCAAUCAAUGAAGAGAGGUAAUAUGGUGUCAGUGAAUCAAGUCUUGUCAUUUAGAUAGAGCCUCAGCAAGAGAACAGAGACAUGUUACUGAAGAAAGAGAGUAGUGUUCAUCAGAUGAAAUGUUCGGGGGGGUUUUUCACCAUCUCCUGGCAGAAUUGUGGUCAAAUCAUGUUCUAUGUGCCAUAUACAGAGGCUUUCAUCAUGGGGUCUGUCCAACACAGCGAUAAGAGUUGGAGAGGUUUUAUUAGUGAAGGAUACCGUGGUCAGUCAGAGAGGUUUUAUUAGUGAAGGAUACCGUGGUCAGUUGGAGAGGUUUCAUUAGUGAAGGAUACCGUGGUCAGUUGGAGAGGUUUUAUUAGUGAAGGAUACCGUGGUCAGUCAGAGAGGUUUUAUUAGUGAAGGAUACCGUGGUCAGUCGGAGAGGUUUUAUUAGUGAAGGAUACCAUGGUCAGUCAGAGAGGUUUCAUUAGUGAAGGAUACCGUGGUCAGUUGGAGAGGUUUUAUUAGUGAAGGAUACCAUGGUCAGUCGGAGAGGUUUUUCAUUAGUGAAGGAUACCGUGGUCAGUCAGAGAGGUUUCAUUAGUGAAGGAUACCGUGGUCAGUUGGAGAGGUUUUAUUAGUGAAGGAUACCGUUUUAUUAGUGAAUGAUACCGUGGUCAGUCGGAGAGGUUUUAUUAGUGAAGGAUACCGUGGUCAGUCAGAGAGGUUUCAUUAGUGAAGGAUACCGUGGUCAGUCGGAGAGGUUUUAUUAGUGAAGGAUACCGUGGUCAGUCAGAGAGGUUUCAUUAGUGAAGGAUACCGUGGUCAGUCGGAGAGGUUUCAUUAGUGAAGGAUACCGUGGUCAGUCGGAGAGGUUUUCCUCCCUUGUUUUCUUCUCCUCCUUUCUGCCAUUUUCACACUCAGUCCAUCUCACCACAUCUCUAGCAUGACAGUAGACUCUCCAAAGCACUGCAGUCAAACUGCAAGUCUCAAAACUAAAUGAAAGUAACUUCAGCCAUAACCGAAUGUCAAGCAGUAAUGAUAUCAAUGUUGGAUUUUUUUUUAUCUUGUGUAUGGUCUCAAAUAUUGCAUGUCGAUAAAUUCUAAUGUAUCACACUUGACUUUUAUUUUUUUUGUUCUCUUCUAUAUUCUGAAUUCUGUGUUUUAUUGUUUCACCUUCAUGUAUGACUAGUUCUGUUCUCUGCUUCUGCUUAAACUCACCGGAUGGAAUUACCUAUAGAUUCUGUCUAUACAACAUACUGCUUAUAGAUUCUGUCUAUACAGACCAAGUGAGAGCAACAUACUGCUUAUAGAUUCUGUCUAUACAACAUACUGCUAUAGAUUCUGUCUAUACAACAUACUGCUCAUAGAUUCUGUCUAUACAACAUACUGCUAUAGAUUCUGUCUAUACAACAUACUGCUAUAGAUUCUGUCUAUACAACAUACUGCUAUAGAUUCUGUCUAUACAACAUACUGCUAUAGAUUCUGUCUAUACAACAUACUGCUAUAGAUUCUGUCUAUA